rnacentral:rRNA from 1 species
CCUACGGGUGGCUGCAGUGGGGAAUAUUGGGCAAUGGGCGCAAGCCUGACCCAGCAACGCCGCGUGAAGGAAGAAGGCUUUCUGGUUGUAAACUUCUUUUCUGAGGGACGAAGAACGUGACGGUACCUCAGUCAUAAGCCACGGCUAACUACGUGCCAGCAGCCGCGGUAAGACGUAGGUGGCAAUCGUUCUCCGGAUUUAUUGGGUGUAAAGGGCGUGUAGGCGGGAAAGCAAGUCAGAUGUGAAAACUCAGGGCUCAACCCUGAGCCUGCAUUUGAAACUGUUUUUCUUGAGUGCUGGAGAGGCAAGCGGAAUUCGGUGUGUAGCGGUGAAAUGCGUAGAUAUACGGAGGAACACCAGUGGCGAAGGCGGAUUGCUGGACAGUAACUGACGCUGAGGCGCGAAAGCGUGGGGAGCAAACAGGAUUAGAUACCCCGGUAGUC